CCCUUAGAUGUUCUGGGCCGCACGCGCGCUACACUGACGAAUUCAACGAGCUUAUAACCUUGGCCGAAAGGUCUGGGUAAUCUCCAAAUUUCGUCGUGAUGGGGAUAGAUUAUUGCAAUUAUUAAUCUUCAACGAGGAAUGCCUAGUAAGCGCAAGUCAUCAGCUUGCGUUGAUUACGUCCCUGCCCUUUGUACACACCGCCCGUCGCUCCUACCGAUUGAAUGGUCCGGUGAAGCGUUCGGACCGUGGCCUUUGGACGGUUCGCCGUCUGUUGGCUGCGGGAAGUUCGUUAAACCUUAUCAUUUAGAGGAAGGAGAANUCGUAACA
rnacentral:rRNA from 1 species